rnacentral:tRNA from 1 species
GCCGAAGUAGCUCAGCGGUAGAGCAACGGUUUCGUAAACCGUGGGUCGUGGGUUCAAUCCCCAUCUUCGGCUCCA